UACAGAGGGGGCAAGCGUUGUUCGGAAUUACUGGGCGUAAAGGGCGCGUAGGCGGUUUGUCGCGUCUGCCGUGAAAGUCCGGGGCUCAACUCCGGAUCUGCGGUGGGUACGGGCAGACUAGAGUGAUGUAGGGGAGACUGGAAUUCCUGGUGUAGCGGUGAAAUGCGCAGAUAUCAGGAGGAACACCGAUGGCGAAGGCAGGUCUCUGGGCAUUAACUGACGCUGAGGAGCGAAAGCAUGGGGAGCGAACAGG
rnacentral:rRNA from 1 species